ACGGGGGAUGUGGGUUAAAAUAGAACUCCUAUUCCAGGAUGGAGAAAUAACUUUUGCUUCUCCAGUAAUAUCUUCUCUCCAUUCUUCCGGUAAAAAGUAAUUAAUGAUAUGUGCCUCCUUAAUACCUUAGCUCAUACAACAAAAAGAUGACAAUGAUGUUUGUAUAUCCCAACAAAAGCGCAAAAAAAUGUAUUUACUCUACAAGUAUGGAGACACAAACAGGAGCUGGAUCAGCUUUACCUUGCGUGAAUUAGAAUCCUGGCUCUUUACUCCAAAUGCAAAUGAAUCAUGCCUGCCAUUUACACUAUUUUCGAUUUCCUCAAGCUUUUCAGACACUACAGCUUUUGUUUUUAAUUCAGAAGAUUCCCGCUCACCAUUCAUGAGCACUUUGUCCUGCACAGCAGGAUAGGAUGGCUGAUGCUCACUCAAAUUAGGAGCAGUCUCAUCACCUGCAGCAUGUCUACUUGAGUGGCUCCCAAUGGACUUCUUUUCAUGGAUAGCCAAGGUAGGGACCUGAUCUGAUACAGCUUCAUCUUCAGCACUGUCUGCUCUGUCCUCAAAAAGAUUACCGCCAGAUCCAUCUUUGUCUGAUGAUGUACAAACCUCAGCAGCUUCUGAUGAUAGCAACUCCUUUCUAGACCCCUAAAGACCAUCAAGUUUCAUCAAAUAGGAUAUAUCUAAGUUUACGUGAUUAUACCAUAUGUUUUCAGAGCAUUAUGAGUAACUGAAAAGAAGAAUUCGUGCUCCUAAAAAUUCAGUUAUAUUAAAAAUUUUUACUUUCUCUGCUGAAACGUCUCCAACAUUGCUCUGAUCAUCUCCAUUUGAUAUUUCCUCAUUAUCUGAAUCAUCUUCCUCUAUAUUUCUGAAAGGAAAUGUCACUAUUAGAUCUGUUUCAGAGCCACUCAAUGCACAUAGAAUAAUGAAAUGAAACAACACUAGAAAAAAACAAAAGAUGAUGAGUACAGCGUGAAUGCAAAAGCAAAUCAGAUAAGUUGUAUCCAAACAAAAGUGGUAAAAUAUUAAUAAGGCAUAUUACAGAGAAUCAAAAGCAUAUCUUUUGUCCGCCUGACAUUUAAAGCUAAACUAAAAUAUCCCGAUCUAAUCGGUGUACGGCUUUCAAGUCAGAAAACUAACCAAUUCUAGUUUCCUCAACUCAUGAAGCACAUGAAGACACGCUUAUGACCCAUCUCUGAUUGAUUAGUUUUUCUUACCUCACCACUUCAUGCGCAAUUAAAAGAUAAUUUUGUCGUACUAUAGAAACCCUUAACAUAAACUAUUUAGUGGUCUUACAAAUAAUUUUUCAACAAUGCUGAAAGUAAAUUUUUCUCCAUAUACAUCCAUCCAGCUUUGUUUUGUAAACCACCAUAUAUUUAGAAAUUUUAAGUCUUUAUGUCUCUGUAUAUUUUGCUGGGGAAAGCCUUAUCUUUUAACAUCAUUUAGUUGUGGUUGUCUACCUAUUAAUGUAAAAUGGCGUUAAAAUCUUAAAACAGUAAAUAUAUUUGCCAAAUCAGAACUAAAAUGAAGCUCAAAUGGAACCUCAAUUUUUUGCAAGACUUUGAUUACCUGCACAGGGACCUACUUGUGCAUUAUUUCAGAUUUUCUGAUAUACAGCAAAAUUUGUGUUCCAUGUAAGCAACUUACUUAUAAUGCAUUUCAUCUUAAUAAGAAUCAUAGAGAAAAGUUUUGGGUAGAUCUCCAACCAAUUGGAGUCAGAUUUACUCAAGUAUUACUUGGACAAAAUUAACAAGGUAGCAGCGAAAAAACAAAAAAAGCACAAAACGAAAAAACAACAGAAAAAAUAGCAAGAAAUCGUUUCAUAUGGACAAUACCAAGUCGCUAAAGAAAAACCCUUUAAAUUUUCUACAGAAAAUAUAAGUAGAAGUUCCAUCCUGGUGGUCCAUACUGAUGUCCAGAACAUAGACAAACUUUAUAUCAAAGGGCACAUAACACCGACCUCCCUCAAGGUUUAAUAUGAUAACAAGAGCUCCCUUCUUCUUUUAGGUUAAGUAAUUUUCUUUCUUCAUGUUACACAAACAUCCACAACAUGUUAAUCACAGCAAAAGGUUCAUUUUGUAAUUUCAGAGAUGUUAGCAAAGAGAUCAGUGGUGAUGAUAACUACUAAUUAUGGGUUAAAAAAAUCUAAAAAGGCUGACAGUGGAGGUUAAUGUAAUAUAUAAAACAAGAAGGAAGGUCCUACUAGAAACUUUAGGUAAGGUUAUGGGAGCUGUACACCUACAAAAUUAACCAUAAAGCAGUAGUUAUUACAGAAUUUGUACAAUUAUUGACAUGAAUAGGUAGCUUACGCCGGUGAUUGAUGCAAAACUAGAGCUAUGCUCUCAUUGAACUAUAUCCCUCAAAGCUAGAAAGAUUUUCCAUAUAAUCACCUCCUACUAUGUGAUAAUCUAACCAAAGUGUAGUCUCUUCCAAUCUAAAAAGGGCAUCCUGCCAUUUCUCUUUCUAUGCUGAAGUUUAACAACAGUAAAAGCAUAUCGUAAUGUAUUUCACACCAAAUGCACCAGAUUUAAAGAGUUUAGUGUUCACUGUGACAUUCAGUCAUUAACAGAUAUGAGUUGUGACUAAGGGGGCCGGACUAACAGUGACAGAUAGUAAUGAAGUUCAUAUGUAACCAGAACAUGCAUUUUUGGGUAAGUACUAGAGUAUCAUCCUCAGAAGUUUAAGUAAAGUCACACACAGAGAUAAGACAAGAAAAGUACAAGUUCAUAUGAGCCCAAAAAAAAUGGGCAUAUAAGUUCAUACAUGACCAAGCAACUAAAAAAAUCACAGAUAACUAAUAUCCAUACACAAAAUUUCUUAUUCAUCAAAGUCAUUAUUUUGACAUUAAGGCAUGUCACCACAAACUCAUUCACCCAGUAUAGUGGUCGCUAUCCAACUGUACUGUGUCAAUGUCCUCCUCUGAGUGUGUCAUAUCAUUUAAUGACACUAACACUACGACAUGUUCACCGAAAAGAAGUUUUGAGUUCCUAAACAGUUAUUCUCAGUUUAAACACAGUCAUGUCCUUAUCUCAACGGGGUAUUGUUGGUCUUACCUCUAGCAGCCUAAAAUAAUACAAGACUGCUGUUUCUCAUUAAUUGUAUGAAUUUUUUUAUCUAGCAAAAACAAAAAAUGGCUGAUAAUAACAUGUAACCUCCUUGUAUCCAUAAGGGGAAUGGAGUAGCAAGGUUGAUGUGACCAUGAGCAAAUUAUGAUUUAAUAAUUGAAGCUCCAGAUUGUUUCGAAAAACUAAAUAUAAGUCUUGCACAAACCCUUAAUAAAUGACCAUAUAGAAAAAGAGGACUAGAAUUCAAUACAGAUGAUCUGCAAUAAUACAGAUCUUAGGCCUCAUUUAUGAAAUUUAAAAGCCAAGAAAGAAAUAGAGGUUAAAUAACAGUAAGAUAUAUUUUAUGCAGGAAUGCCUGCUGGGCAUAGGCAGUUACUAUUGAACAGAUUGAGACAAGGGAAAACAAUUCAAAUAUCUACCUUAUUGUUCCACUAUGACGAAGCGAUGAUUGUAAAGCACGCCUUGAAUUUUGUAUCCAAGGGUGUGAAAGUAAUGUCUUGGCAUCAGGCCUUUGUCUAGCAUCCUGACAGAUGAUCCUUAAUGUCAGAGGCAGGGAUUCGUCAUAAGAUUGCAUAAUAAAAAAAAUUCACUCUUCUGAGGUAGCUCACAGGUGCAAACUUUCUUUCCAUUCAACGCAUUAACAAUUGUAAGAAACUUCUUAAAUCAUAUGGACCACAGCUACAAGUUUCCUGUGAUUAAUUUCUCCCAACCAUGUGGGUGGGGAUCAAGAAAUACAAUAAAUAAAUAAAGUGCCACAAACCAAGACAGAUUAAGGCACUACAUAAGCAAGCCACCUCUUGUCACCAAAUUCUACCACUGAGUCACAUGGUGGAAUCAGAAAUUUGGCUCCAACUUGCCUCCUUUUGAUGGUUCGUACUAAAAUUGCCAAUCUUUUCCCUAUGUACUAAACACAGUUUUACAUGCUUUAACAGGGAUGCACUCCUUCACCACAUUAAUUAUGUUGACACUUAGCCUUUAAUAACAAAGCACAAGCAACUAGUAGCAUUGAAAAUCAUUGAAGCAUGUUAUAUAGACAUUUUUAAAAAAAUUUCAACCUUUAGUGUCAAACCAGUUGUUGAUAGGAAAAUUCAAAAGUAGCAAGGGCAAUGGGUAAAACUGUUGUUCUUACAUCUCACCUUCUUAAAGCAUUGCUGCAGAAAAUCUGUAAUAGCAGGAGAUAAGCUAUCUGGUAUAGGAGGAUGGUCAUCCUGAAAAAGGUGAGAAAUAAAAUCAACAUAAAAAAUUUCUGGAGCAAAACUUACAGUUUUUACUUGGUCAUAUUAAUUAGUAAGCAAUACCACUGAACCCAAAAUUGGCAGGACUAAAACCUGUUCUACAGAGUCAAAGCAUUGCUUUCUCAUUGUCAGAGCAACAAAUAACUACAGAGAUAAGACAAAGCUUAACCUGCACAAUACGAAAGAGAGCAGGCAUCGGCUGGAGAUCAUAAUAUGGGGGUACACAUGUGAGAAGCUCAAUAACAGUGCAUCCAACACUCCAAAUGUCUGAUGCAGCACAAACUCCAGACAUUUCAAUGACCUGAAAAAUUUUAUUAUGAAGAUUUCAAUCCCCAGUGUAGAUAUAACUAUCACAACAUCGGACAGCAUAAAUUCAUUACCCUGGUUAAGUUACAUACUUCAAAAUCCAUCACAUCAAAAAAGCAUCUAUUGCUUAAAAAGCACACCUGUCAUUUGGACUUUAUAUGCUCUCGAAAACUUCUAACACCCCCUAAUAUCCCCGAGAAACUUCUCCUACCCCUUAUGCCCUUGCACUCCUCAAGCUUCAUUCCAUCAAAGAAUCAUUUCAUACUUCACUCAGUGCAUCCUUGUAAGAACACAGAAGGCCCAUUUCAGACCUUUCUAUUUAUAUUUAUCAGAUUUGCUCCUUUCACCACACAACAUUAAAGUUCUCAAGGAGAUUUUUAUUAAUCUGCUGCACAAAUUCUAGCUUCCUGCCAAUAUCCAGCACGCAGCACAACGCAGAUCUAAAACAUGAUAGAUCAUUGAGUGAUGAAGAAAAUUUCCCAUACCCGAAAGGAUAGGAAAAUAAGACUACAUUGUUGGAAACUGAGGAGUCAUGGGUAAUAUAACCAUUUAAAGUUGCUUGCACGAUAUAUCAUCAGGUGUACAUCAAGUCAGAAGAAAAUAACUACACCCACGUUAUUUAUUUACAAUUACAUUAAUAAUUAGAAAUGGCAAAUGGUCAAGAGAGUUAGGUUUUAAACAGGAUCACACAAAUAAGGGCACAAUACUGUGAGCAACCAAUUUGUAGAUAGAUUAGCUCGGUUGACUUAAAAUGGACCUUGGCAAGCCAUAGGUGCCAUGCUAGAUAUGCUAAUGGAUGCCCAACAACCCAUAUCACAUCAUUUUGUUCACAAAAUAAGCUUUUCUUGUUCAUCCUCAGACUCACAAACCCUAAAUAGUAACCAGUGGCCACCAAAAUUCUGGGGAAAUUCCAACGGGCGGGGGUGGCUGGCCACUUGAGCUUUAGGAGUAAUUUUAGAGAGAGAGAGAGAGAGAUGAAUAAGAAGAAAGAGUGCAUAAAAGAAAAAAUUAAAAGGAUGAAAAAGAAACACGGAGCCUGGGGCCUAAUGGGUACCCAGAAUAGCACACACCCACCAAAUGGUAAGCGAUGAGCCAACAAAGGGUUGAUCACCAAGGCCAAAAAGCACACACCAUGAAAGUAGAAAACACUAAUGUGAAGAACAAAAAGAAGAUAAGCCAAAAAUUGAGCUAGGAAGUACCUCAGGAGCCAUCCAGUAUGGAGUCCCAACAACUGAAUGUGUAUUAACAUCUGCCUCUGUUAGUUUCGUUGCAACUCCAAAGUCUGCAAGUUUGACAAGACCCUAAAAGCACAAGAUCAUUUAAGCAUUCUACCAAGACAGGUUAAAUCCUACAAAGACAACUACCACAGAGUUUCUUAAGACAAAAAGAGAAAUACAAAAGGAUCCAGUGACUGUGUCCCAAAAUAAGAUAAACAUCCCAUCUAUAAACAUCCCAUCUAUAGCCAGAGAUAGAAAUGAACACAAGAGGCGUGCAAGCAAGAGAUGCAACAGCAGAGAAAUGCCGAAACACAGCCAUAGUACCUCUUUGGUUGUCAAUAUAUUUGCACCCUUGAUGUCCCGAUGAAUUACACCCUGUUCAUGUAGAUACACUAAUCCUUCCAAAACCUAGCAAAUGAAUGAGCCGAGUGUAAUAACUGAAACCGUAGUAAAAGAAGGUUUUAAGUAUAAACUCUCUUUCAAACCUGAGAUAUGUAAACAGCAACCAAAGACUCUGGAAAGGGUCCAAAUUUAUUGGGCUUGAUUAUGUUGGCAAGUGAACCAUUCUCCACAUAUCUUUGCCAAAAAGGGUAAAAAAGGUCAAAAGCAUUUAUCUACAAUAGCCUAAAAAUACAGUGAGAAAAUUCCUUAAGCAUACUCACUCAAGAAUAAUAUGGAGAUGAGUCUUUGUCUUCAAAGAUCCCAAGUACUUUACAAUAUUUUUGUGAUUCAAGUUCUGUAAAGUUAAAGCAAAAAACUGUGAAACUCCACUCAUAUGAUAGACAUAGAUGUGGGAAGCAGCUUGAAAGCAGAUAACAAUGCAGUGGAGCAGCCUAUUUUAUUGGAGAAUCCACUGAAUGAUUUUCCAUAUUGUUGCCUGAUGUGGAUUUAAAACGUUUUGUAUUUGCCUGAUUUAAAACAUUGUUGCUAGGACAUCUUCUGAUAAUAUAUGGAAAGAUGGCACUUUCAUAACUAGCAGCAGGGAAGAUUGUCAGUCAACCAAAAUGCUUAUGUGUAACAAACACAAAAGACAAGCAAGGUGUUAUUUUAUCAUUCGGCAUCUAAUUACUUUGACAAAAUACUUGUGUGUCCACAUAUUUCACAAGAAGCUGAAGAAGUAAACUUUACCUUAAGCAAAUCAAUCUCUUGCUGCAACAUCGACAAAUCGAACCAAUAAUAUCACCCAAAAAGCAAAGAAAAGAUUAGUGAGUCGAAUAUGAAAAAAAUACUCUAUCAACAUUUGAAAUAUGAAAACACAAAAGUAGCAUUUCUAGAAAAUCCCCCUACGCCACCCAAUUUCUGCUAGUAGAUAUAUGCAUGGAAUAUGAAGCAACUAAUACAAGCCUUGAAAUUCUUUUCCCAAUCAUAACCUCGGAAAACAGAUCUUUCACCUGUUAUGAGUAGCUCUUUUGUUCCUCUACUCAUUAGUGCUUUUUUACAAAAGCAGAUUCAUUGGGACCUGGCAAAGGGUGUGCACCUCAUAAAAAUAUGUACAUAGUACACAUAGAGUAUGGGCUCUUUAUACAUCAAUCUUGCUGCCUACAAUAGAAUCUGAAGACAAGCACUCAUAAGCUAUAAACUUUCCUAAAACAUGCACAACUCCUAUUUCCUAUUUUAAAUAGGAAAGGAAAGUAGCUAUAUAACUUCCUUUAACAGUGACAAGUUCAACUCAUAACCUAACACAAAACUAAAAAGACUCGAUGAGACGAUUUUGAAUUUUCCGGCAAUCAAGUAAAUGACCAAAUUAUCCCUCCAGACCUAAAUUUCUAGAAAGUACUAAAUCUCAAUGGACUUAAGCAAAGGUGAAGAACUUCUUAUCCCUCCAAAUGAACUUAAGCAAGGUGACUAAUAAAGGCACUCAAUGGAUCUAUUCUUGCUGCAAAUCACACUGCUAGAGCUCCUUGUCGACUGCAUCAGUUUAGUUAGGCAAAGCAUGCCUUUACAGUCGCAAUAAUACUAAGAAAAAUUUUGGGGGAAGAGAGAGAGAGAGAGAGAGAGAGAGAAGCAACUUAGCUUAUUCAAACUCGCAUCCCGUGUCAUGGGGAAUGAAAUUCACAGAGCAACUUAAUUACGCAAACAAAGGUCACCAAAAAACCCACAGAUUAAAAGUGCACGGUAAUACAACUACGACUACUGUGAGUUUAGAGAAAGGAGUCAAUGAGGAAAAUUUCUGGAAAUUGUUAGACCGACAUACAAGCAAUAAGGACAAUACAACUUGAAAGUAGCAAUAAAAGCAAAGAUAAAAGGUAUCAGUUGCUUUGUAGAAGGUGCAACGUGUGGACAUUUUUUUUGGACAUUUAGCAGUGUAAUAUAAUAGGUAAAAAAAUUCAGGUCAGAUGCCCUUUAAAGACUCUGC
rnacentral:lncRNA from 1 species